rnacentral:rRNA from 1 species
AGAGUUUGAUCAUGGCUCAGGACGAACGCUGGCGGCGUGCCUAAUGCAUGCAAGUCGAGCGGGCUACGAUCUUCGGAUUGUAGCUUAGCGGCGAACGGGUGAGUAACACGUAGGUAAUCUACCCUUCAGAGGAGGACAACCUCAGGAAACUGAGGCUAAACCUUCAUACGUUCACUGGUAGGGAUACUGGUGAAGAAAGAGUUACCUUAGUGGUAGCUGCUGAAGGAUGAGCCUGCGGCCCAUCAGGUAGUUGGUGAGGUAACGGCUCACCAAGCCGAAGACGGGUAACCGGUCUGAGAGGAUGUCCGGUCACACUGGGACUGAGACACGGCCCAGACUCCUACGGGAGGCAGCAGCAGGGAAUCUUGGGCAAUGGGCGAAAGCCUGACCCAGCGACGCCGCGUGGAGGAAGAAGUCCUUCGGGGCGUAAACUCCUGGACUGGGGGACGAGGAAGGACGGUACCCCAGUAGAAAGGGACGGCUAACUACGUGCCAGCAGCCGCGGUAAAACGUAGGUCCCGAGCGUUGUUCGGAUUCACUGGGUGUAAAGGGCGCGUAGGUGGUUGUCUGUGUCUCAUGUGAAAACUCAGGGCUCAACUCUGAGAUUGCGUGGGAAACUAGGCAGCUAGAGGACGGUAGAGGGGAGUGGAAUUCCCGGUGUAGCGGUAAAAUGCGUAGAUAUCGGGAGGAACACCGGUGGCGAAGGCGGCUCUCUGGGCCGAUCCUGACGCUGAGGCGCGAAAGCUAGGGGAGCGAACCGGAUUAGAUACCCGGGUAGUCCUAGCCGUAAACGAUGGGUGCUAGGUGUUGGGGGGUAAAGACCCUUCAGUGCCGAAGCCAACGCGAUAAGCAUCCCACCUGGGGAGUACGGCCGCAAGGUUGAAACUUAAAUGAAUUGACGG